CGCGGCAGCAGCAUGGCGGCGCGCUGGGAGCCGGUGGCGGGUGAGGGCCGGGCUCAGCGGUGAGGCCGCGCUGAGGACGUGGUUGCCCGUCCCUCCCUUGGGGAUGCCGUCGACUGCAGCCGCCUCGCCUGUGCCUGGCCUGGCUCGCCUCGUGGCGUGGGGGCGAAAAGGGACAGGCGGCGGAGCGCUUACCGGCCGUGGACAGGAGCUGCCCUAAGGGAAGCUGGACUGGCCAGAGAAAGGUGAAGAAGAAGAAGAAGAGAUGGAAGGCUCUCCGGCCGGCAGCUGCCUCCCGCUGCAGGCAAGAGAGCGCCUGCCUCGCCGGGCGGAGGACAGCCGAGCGACCGGAGUGACAGCAAAGGAAAGGCGGAGAGCGGGAGAAAGAAGCGUCUGCGCUGGCAAGCUCUCCCGGCAGCGCCGAGAGCCAGAGCUGCGGUGCUGCUGCGCCGAUGCUCCGUACGUUCGCAGUAACGGGUAGAGCGGAAGGCUCCGUGGCCAGGGAAGAGCGGCACGGACGCGUUCCUGCUCGCUCCGUUGCACCGGAAUUUCGACGGCUG